rnacentral:rRNA from 1 species
GUGGGGAAUAUUGGUCAAUGGGCGCAAGCCUGAACCAGCCAUGCCGCGUGCAGGAAGACGGUCCUAUGGAUUGUAAACUGCUUUUAUUUGGGAAUAAACUCCGGUACGUGUACCGGCCUGAAGGUACCAAAUGAAUAAGCACCGGCUAACUCCGUGCCAGCAGCCGCGGUAAUACGGAGGGUGCAAGCGUUAUCCGGAAUCAUUGGGUUUAAAGGGUCCGCAGGCGGUCUUAUAAGUCAGUGGUGAAAGCCUACAGCUCAACUGUAGAACUGCCAUUGAUACUGUAGGACUUGAAUUCGAUCGAAGUGGGCGGAAUGUGACAUGUAGCGGUGAAAUGCUUAGAUAUGUCACAGAACACCGAUAGCGAAGGCAGCUCACUAGGUCUGGAUUGACGCUCAGGGACGAAAGCGUGGGGAGCAAACAGGAUUAGAUACCCGGGUAGUCC